rnacentral:rRNA from 1 species
UGGGGAAUAUUGGACAAUGGGCGGAAGCCUGAUCCAGCCAUGCCGCGUGUGUGAAGAAGGCCUUCGGGUUGUAAAGCACUUUGUACGGGAAGAAAAGCUUUCGGUUAAUACCCGGAAGUCCUGACGGUACCGUAAGAAUAAGCACCGGCUAACUUCGUGCCAGCAGCCGCGGUAAUACGAAGGGUGCAAGCGUUACUCGGAAUUACUGGGCGUAAAGCGUGCGUAGGUGGUUUGUUAAGUCUGAUGUGAAAGCCCUGGGCUCAACCUGGGAAUGGCAUUGGGAUACUGGCAGUCUAGAGUGCGGUAGAGGGUAGCGGAAUUCCCGGUGUAGCAGUGAAAUGCGUAGAUAUCGGGAGGAACAUCCGUGGCGAAGGCGGCUACCUGGACCAGCACUGACACUGAGGCACGAAAGACGUGGGGAGCAAACAGGAUUAGAUACCCUGGUAGUCCACGCCCUAAACGAUGCGAAC